CACUCAAUCUGACAUACAUAGACACAUACAUGUAAUAUUUUUUAUAUUUGCGGCCACCCUCCUGUUUGCUUACCUUUUGUGUCCAGGAGGGUGGCUUGCUUGAGGUCCUGGUGGUGCUGGCUGAGACUGAUGAUAGUGAGCAUGAGGGUCUGCUGCAGCUCACUCCAGCCUCUCCUCUGCCUCCAUGCUGCCUGUGGUGCCUGCACGGCGCUUUUUAUGUCUAGGAGCAGGGCCGCCAUCAGGGGGUGACAACCAUGAUGGUUGUCACAGGCCCGGACUGCUCUGGCAAUC